GGGUUAACACAAACCUGUUGAAAAAAUGGGGGUUAACAUAGUCGUGUAAAAAGAAUGUAGUAAAUAAACUUGUUUUAAAAGUAUUUUGAGUAAAAAAUAUAUUAUCAGUACACUAUGGACGUUUUCGAAUCGAAGGCUCGGGCUCAGGCUUCAGACUGAUGCAGCCAUUUUGAAGCCGCGUACGAAUCGGAGGCUCCGGAUCGGGCUUCGAAUUUGAGGCUUCGAUUUUGACUAAAAAGGGCGCCAGGUGAAGCCUCCUCAAGAAGUGGCUUCGCCAGGCUUCAUGGCGUCAGAUUCGUGAUGAUAAAACUUUUUCUUGCGGCAGCCAUUAAAAUCCUCGGUUACCGUUUAAUAAAAUUUACAAGUUUGGCUCUUUUGAGCGCGUUUUACUAUUUUUAACAGCAGUCUUCACCUGAUAUAUCACCCUUGAGAAGGCGAACAAUUUGCAUCAAUGAUAUUAAGAGUUGGAAGAGUGACUUUGGUGUGAGGAAAGCCACCAGGCCGAGGUUCAAGUCUAAUAGGGGCAAAAGGAUACUUGGACAAUGCCCAUAUCUGUCAGUUACAAGGAUCUGCAGCAAAGCGUCAAUGUGAGAAACGUAUAAUGUGCUAGCCAGUUCUGCAUCAAAGCGAAAGACCUGUUAGUUCAUUUCAGAAAGAUGUCAUCAGUAGGCCUGGGCAACAAGUGAAGUUUACUACUCAUAUAGUGCCAAAAACAUUGUAGUCACGACUUUGACACUAGUUGCGACUAUUUUAAACUUCCAAGAUACAUUGCGGCAAGUUGUUUGCCGCAGGCCCAAUCAAGUAAAAUUUGUGCUAAAAGGAUUGAAGUUGUUGGGAAUAGUCAAGAGCGACACAAUGGGAGACUUUCCAACGCUAGGUGGCAGCAGACUUACCGGGUAAACUUCAUUGUUUACGUAGUUAUGAGCUUGCGCAUAAUUCUGAGAACUAUGGCUUUACCCGGUAAGUCUGCUGCCACCUAUCGUCCUAGAAAGUCUCCUGUUGGUUAACCAAGCAAUAGCUGGACUGUUUUUGUAGUAGUCAUGGUAGCACGUCAACUAUCUGAGUAGUAGAACAAUAGGAGACUUUCCAACGCUAGGUGGCAGCAGACAUACCGGGUAAAUUUCCAUUG